rnacentral:rRNA from 1 species
GAUGAACGCUGGCGGCGUGCCUAAUACAUGCAAGUCGAGCGAACAGACGAGGAGCUUGCUCCUCUGACGUUAGCGGCGGACGGGUGAGUAACACGUGGAUAACCUACCUAUAAGACUGGGAUAACUUCGGGAAACCGGAGCUAAUACCGGAUAAUAUAUUGAACCGCAUGGUUCAAUAGUGAAAGACGGUUUUGCUGUCACUUAUAGAUGGAUCCGCGCCGCAUUAGCUAGUUGGUAAGGUAACGGCUUACCAAGGCAACGAUGCGUAGCCGACCUGAGAGGGUGAUCGGCCAAACUGGAACUGAGAAACGGGCCAGCCUCCUACGGAAGGCAGCAUUAGGAAAUCUUCCGCAAUGGCCGAAAGCCUGACGAAGCAACGCCGCGUGAGGAAUGAAGGUCUUCGGAUCGUAAAACUCUGUUAUUAGGGAAGAACAAAUGUGUAAGUAACUAUGCACUUCUUGACGUUACCUAAUCAGAAAGCCACGGCUAACUACUU